UACGUAGGAGACGAGCGUUGUCCGGAAUUACUGGGCGUAAAGCGUGCGCAGGCGGUUCGCUAAGACAGAUGUGAAAUCCCCGGGCUUAACCUGGGAACUGCAUUUGUGACUGGCGGGCUAGAGUAUGGCAGAGGGGGGUAGAAUUCCACGUGUAGCAGUGAAGUGCGUAGAGAUGUGGAGGAAUACCGAUGGCGAAGGCAGCCCCCUGGGCCAAUACUGACGCUCAUGCACGAAAGCGUGGGGAGCAAACAGG
rnacentral:rRNA from 1 species